rnacentral:hammerhead_ribozyme from 1 species
AUCCGGCAGACGCGUCCCAAAUACAACGAAACGCGCGUCAAACUGGAU